CUGGAGCCUGGAUACACAUGUUCAACUCUUAAUGGGAUUAUUACAAUGUUUAGAAUAGAACUAUCGUUCUAUAGCUCUGACCGAUCAUUGGAGAGCAGGUAGGGGUUAGACAGUACAGAGACAGGUCAUUAAGGAGCAGGUAGGGGUUAGACAGUACAGAGACAGGUCAUUAAGGAGCAGGUAGGGGUUAGACAGUACAGAGACAGGUCAUUAAGGAGCAGGUAGGGGUUAGACAGUACAGAGACAGGUCAUUAAGGAGCAGGUAGGGGUUAGACAGUACAGAGACAGUUCAUUAAGGAGCAGGUAGGGGUUAGACAGUACAGAGACAGGUCAUUAAGGAGCAGGUAGGGGUUAGACAGUACAGAGAUAGGUCAUUAAGGAGCAGGUAGGGGUUAGACAGUACAGAGAUAGGUCAUUAAGGAGCAGGUAGGGGUUAGA
ensembl:lncRNA